rnacentral:rRNA from 1 species
AACUUUCAACAACGGAUCUCUUGGUUCCCGCAUCGAUGAAGAACGCAGCGAAACGCGAUAGUUAAUGUGAAUUGCAGAAUUCAGUGAAUCAUCGAGUCUUUGAACGCACAUUGCGCCCAUUGGUAUUCCUUUGGGGCAUGUCUGUUUGAGCGUCAUU